rnacentral:tRNA from 1 species
AAUGAAGUGCCUGAAUAAAGGGCUACUUUGAUAGAGUAAAUCAUGCAGAAAAUGCCUUCAUUA